rnacentral:rRNA from 1 species
UGCGUAGGCGGAAUGAUAAGUUAGUGGUGAAAGCCCCCGGCUCAACCGGGGAACUGCCAUUAAUACUGUCAUUCUUGAGUAUAGUUGAAGUGGGCGGAAUGUAUCAUGUAGCGGUGAAAUGCUUAGAUAUGAUACAGAACACCGAUAGCGUAGGCAGCUUGCUAAACUAUAACUGACGCUCAGGCACGAAAGCGUGGGGAGCAAACAGGAUCAGAUACCCUGGUAGUCC